rnacentral:rRNA from 1 species
UACGAAGGGGGCUAGCGUUGCUCGGAAUCACUGGGCGUAAAGCGCACGUAGGCGGAUUGUUAAGUCGGGGGUGAAAUCCUGGAGCUCAACUCCAGAACUGCCUUCGAUACUGGCGAUCUUGAGUCCGGGGAGAGGUGAGUGGAACUCCGAGUGUAGAGGUGAAAUUCGUAGAUAUUCGGAAGAACACCAGUGGCGAAGGCGGCUCACUGGCCCGGUACUGACGCUGAGGUGCGAAAGCGUGGGGAGCAAACAGG